AUGAACGAUCAGACAUGUGCCCCACCUGUACUUCAUUAUAUACAACCAUAUUGUGGGCUUGAUGAAGCAUGCGCUCAUGUAGAGUUGGCCAUCUUCGCCGUCAUCGACGGCCUUAUGGCUAAUACACACAUCAACCCCGGCGUGAUUGGUGCUCUUAUCACGAACUGCAGCGCAUUUAUCCCGGUACCUUCCAUGGCUGACAUGAUUGUGAACAGAUACAAAUUGCGAGGUGAUCUUCGUGUCGUCAACCUCUCUGGGAUGGCGUGCUCUGCAGCGGUGACCUCAGUAAGGCUCACAAGCAACAUGAUGCAAGUCAUGCCUUGGGGGUCGCAUAUGUUGGUCGUCUCCACCACUACGGGAAACAACUAA
rnacentral:rRNA from 1 species